AUGGGACAGCCACAGCUUCUCUGGGCAACCUGUGCCAGGGUCUCCCCACCCUCACAGGGAAGAAUUCCUUGCCAAGAUCUCAUCUAAACCCACACUCUUUGUAUUUAAAGCCAUUUCCCCUUGUCCUGUCA